rnacentral:ncRNA from 1 species
ACUGGGGUGCUGAACAGAGUUUCGGCUGAGAAAACACCCACAAAACCUGAUGCGGAUAAUACCGCCGGAGGGAGUAUGAAAACA